AGGAGGAGGAGGAGGAAAAGAUUGCAUCAAGAGCAGGAUUUUUUUUUUUUUUCCCUCUCUCUCUCUCUCUCUUACAGGAAGCCCUACUCUACCUUAGCCUUGGAAAGAGCCCCUUUUCAUAAAAUUAGCUGAAGGCACCUAUUCACAGCCAUGGGGCUGUGAAAAAAAAAAAAAAAAAAAGCAACAAACCGACUGUAGAGGGCUUUUUUUUUUUUUUUCUCUCUCUCUCUCUCUUUUUUCUCUUCGCUCCAAAAAAUAAAAGAGAAAUGCACACAGCUCCACUCUGCGAAAACUUGAUGUUUUUACCGUCUGCUCUCCGACACAUCUAGCGAGGGUGGUGGUUUUUUGGUGGUGGGUUGUUUUGUUGUUUUUUUUUUUUUCCCUUCUUUACCUCCGUUCAGCUCCUUUUAAAUCACAACCGCCCGGCAGAAAUCCGCUGCUUCUGCAAGGGAAAAAAGUAUAAUAAUCAUAAUAAAAUAAAUCCCCACGAGUUGAUUUCCAAAGGGUGCGCAGAGCCCUGUGUCCGUGCGGGUGCCCGCGUGUAGCAUCCCUGCCACGAUUUCUUCCCCCUCCCCUCCUCCUUCUCCUCCCACCCCGAAAAAGUGAUAAGGGGAUGGCUGCAGGAGCCCGCUUUCGGUUCUUAAACAAACCCCCCAACAGCUCGCCAUUGGGGGCGGUGGGGGCCGAAAUAUAUUUGAUUUUUUUUAAUAUUUUUUUUUUUCCCUCCUUCGCCAAGGAGUUUUAUGAAUGAAAGCGCCCGGCUGAGCUGGGAGUAACAUCCCAGCCCUGAAACUCCUGGAGCUGGUGAAAUGCAGGGGGAAAAGGGGGGCUAAAAGGGGGUGCAGCACUGUGUCCCCCCCCUCCCCAGGUCCUCGGAGGGCUCCGUAGGGAGGGAGUCGGCUGCAGCUCCCCCCCCCCCCCCAUCCCGGCUCCCUCCGGGCACGAGACGAGAACCCGGUGCCCGAGCGGAAAAAAAAAAGAAAAAAAAAAAAAAAAAAAAAAAAAGUAAAAAAAAGAAAAAAUCAGCGAAGAUUUCUGAACGUUUUCGCGAAGUGAAAAGAUUUUUUUUAUUUUUUUUUUUGCCGCGGGGGAAAAAAAAAUCUAAAAUAAACUACUUAAAGGGGGGGGGGGGAUCUCUCAGCCCCGCGCUUUCAUGCCGUGCUCAAUCGGCUUUUUGAAACUGCAGAUCCUUUGAGACAGAGAGGGAGAGAGAAGCGAAAAAAUCCCUAUUUGUAACUAAAACACCCUGCAACCUGGAAGGCUGGCAGAAUAAACCUAUUGUGGAGCCGAACCGCGCUGGGAUAUACAAGCAAAAAUCCCCCAGAGUACCACUGUUGGCGAAAAGAUGCACACGGAAAACAAACAGCACCAGGGGCUGCAGCUCUGAGUUGCUCCGCUUCACAUGGGCUCCUCCGCUGCGCUCAGGGAGCUGCCCAGAUCUCCAGCCAUGAGAAAGCGAAGCAAAGGACCGGGCUUUCUUGUCAUGUGCCUUUCUGGCUAAAACUGUGGAAACAAACAAACAAUCAAACAAACACAAAUUCUGGAAGGGGGGGGGGGGGGGGGGGCGGGAGGGAAGGAGAAGGAGAAAUCAUCCGCAACCGGAGCGCUGGAAGACCUCUCGUCCUCCUACUUCCCCGAGCGAGCUUGGAUGCUGGAAGGAGCCUCUUGGAUAUGGGAUCAUAUCUGGUUUAUCACAGCCUGGGUUUGAUCCUCUGCUGCUCCGUGCUGAGUUCAGUCUACGCUCUGGUGGAUGCUGACGAUGUCAUCACCAAAGAGGAGCAGAUCUUCCUACUGCUAAAAGCCAAGGCCAAGUGUGAGCGACAUCUGAAAGCCAAGGUGCCCAAGGUGCACGAAAGAAAUAUCACGUAAGUUGGCACGAAAGCUUGGUAGGGCUGCUGUCCUCAUUCUUGAGAGCUGACGCACAGGGAUAUUCAACGCCUCACCUCCCAUCUCAAAGGAGAGCCUGUGGCAGAGCCAAGAUUUGGGUUCUCAUCUCCUUACUCUUCAGCCAGGGCACAAGCCACAAACCACAUUUCCUUUUGUCCUGGAAUUCAAGGUGAGGCUCCAAGGAUUCAAACCCAGGUGGACAGAAACCGCCGAAAAUCUUUGGACGUAUCCCACUUGACUGAAACUCAAAACUCUCGUCAUCAUUCUUGCCGUAAAGCCUCUGGUUUUGUUUUGAAAUGAGGAAAGCACAUCUGAAAUUUCCUGCAGUGCAACGGGUACCUGGAUUCUCUUCCUCUUUUCCCUGUCUCAUUGCUGAGUGCAUUUCACAGGCCAGUUCUUCACCUGGUAUGAACUGGCAAAUUCCCAUUCAGUUAGUGAGGGCAUUGAUCUGUCUCACAUUCAUUGCUUUCUCUCACAGUUCAGCACUGCAACUUUUUUUUUUCCCUAACUAAUGUUCAUUCAGACUAAUGUGAUAAAUUGUUAGCAGGCAACCAAUGUUUAAAUAUAAUAAUAAAAUAACAACCAGAAUUUCAGAGAGAUCUGUGGAGAAAUGAGGAAGUAGCUCAGCUGAGCCACAAAGUUGGAUUUGGGGCUGUUAUCUGCUGAUCUCUUUUUCACCUUGCAGCUACCCACUCCUAAUGUGUUUGCCUGUUAAUAACAGGCUAGAAAUGUCUAUGUAGAUUAAUGCAAGUGAAGAAAAUGCACUGCGGGAGGGAUCUGUGAGUCCAGAACCACUGCUUGCCCCAUGAGAUUGAGGAGCAGGUUUCUGUGCACCACGCCUCCACUUCAGGCUUAGAUUUGGGCUGGAAACACAAACCAGCACUGACUGCAAAAUGUGAUCCUGCCUGUGCAUGGACUUCAUUAGCUCUUUCCUGGGAAGCAGCAAGCCCAGAAAAGUUGAGCAUCUCAAAUCACUCCUGUCUGCCUUCUGGAAGCAGGAAGGUGUUGGUCUCCAGGCCGAUCCAUGUUGCCCUUUCCCCUUUGCUGGUUUUACUGGCUCUUUUUUAUUAAAUCCAUAGUUUUAUUUCUUAGCCUGCAUGACGGUUAACGAGUGCCGUGUGCCUUGUGGUGCAGUGCCAAAGAGCAGCAGUUUCCAGGGCGGCUCGUAUCCAAGUGGCCAGUGAGUGGUUGCGUUGUUCUUCCUCCCUGGCCAGCAUUGGCGUCAUCUUUGCGCCGGGCCUGAUCCAACGUGGCUCCAGCUACUAAAAAUGGCUCUAAAACCCCAGCUAGCACGCCUAAAAAUUGGACUGGAUGUUGUGAAAAAAGGAAAUGGUUGGCAGGUGCAUGGAGAGCAGUGGUGUUCACCCUUUUUGUAGAGGCUGGAAGGAGAUGUUCAUUGGAAGGGGACUUCUGAAGGCUGGAAGGGAUGUUCAACAUCUGUCUUGGUUUCAAUUUUCCUUUGAUCCUUGGCCCAUGCCCUGAUAGACCAGGCAAAUAGCUGUCAACUGGAGUAUUCAAAUAUAUUAUCUGCUGCCAUGGCUCAGCAGUGCCUUGUUCAAUUUGAUGCAAUUUAACCAGAUCCAUGUCUAACCCCCAUUCUGACAGUGGCAGGGACCAAGAAGCAUCAGGGGAAAGCUUAAAAAUUCAACAGGGAUUUCUGGAGAGUGGGAACACGUGGCUAUUUCUCAUGUGAGUGCAAGCAAGGUUGAUGGUCCAAAGGAAAGACUUAGCAAACAAAGGUUUAAAAAGAAAGAGAUAAUAUAAGCUUCCUUCAACAGUAACAAAAUACUACUUAUCUGUAAAAUCUUCAAAUUUCUUUAUUUUCCCCCUAAAAAUGUUACCUUUCAUUUGU